UCUGCCUCUUUGUCUAUCUGC
rnacentral:miRNA from 1 species